AUGAGCGGGCGGCAGCCAAUCAGCGAGCGGUUCCCGACAGCCCCGACGCCGGUAACCGACCAGCUGGGGGGGCGGGGGGAGCCAAAAAGUUGGCGUUUCGGGACUGGUGAUACCGGACACCCCCCCGCCACCACCGCUUCGUCCCCGGGAGCCGCUGCCCCGCAACUCCGGGGCCCUGCACCUGCUCUGGGCCGGGGGAACCGGGGCUGCGCGGUGCGGAGGGGCCGGCGGGGCUGCCGCGGGGGAAGGAGCGGGGCCGGGCGGAUCGGGGCUGGACGCCGGGGGGCAGGGGGAGGAGGAGUGGGGCGGGACGCUGUGCUGGAAGGGGGAAGAGUCGUGAGUUUCCCAGGCACAAAGAGAUUUGGGGCUCCCUUGGUGGAUGCCAAGCCUGGAGAAACCGCCUGGAAACGGAGCGACCCCGCGCCGCACGGACACCCCUCCCGCAUGAAGCGGAGUGGGGAGGAACGGACAAAAUCUUCCGCUUCUGAGCCCUCUCCUGAAGGAGAACGCCUACUGCCCCGCCGGGACCGGGCACGGAGGCGCGGACACGGCACCUGCACGGACGGGGCUGGCAGCUUCGUGCAGGCACCGCUGGCACAGGGCUACCCGGCUGCUGUGGGGCAGAGACGGGGCGCGGGGUCCCCUCCCUGCUCCUCCCCGUCCUUCCCCCUGCACCCCGGCUGGGGAAACCGGCCGGUUCCCCCCGGCGUGGGGGAGGAGAGACAAACCGAGCCUGCAGCCCUCUCUGGGAGAUGCCCCAGUGCCGGAGGAGACGUUUGUUGGAGGGACCGGACACGUUUGCAUGCACCGAAAAGUCGGGCGGUAUAUGGAAUCGGAGAACACGCUGAAAGCUCCGUGAACGGUGUUCCCUUCGAUGUUUAAAUAAAUAUUACAAUGUUAAGUUUCAGACUCUUGUCUUUCAAUCUGUCUUUGCGCCGCCUGAGACUCCAAUUAUCCCACUUUUUUUCCAAAGGCCACGCU
rnacentral:lncRNA from 1 species